AUCAUCUGAGCAGUAAUGGAGAGCUAGUGCACAUACCCAUUGUUCAUCUUACAACUAUUGAAGGGACAUCAAGUGCAGAUUCAUUUGGGAAAGGGAAAAAAACUGCAACAAUAUCUACUUAUAUUUCAGACAUGAACGAUGUGAUGUAUCUGAAAAUAAUGCCAUGGGAAGAGUGUGGGAGAGACACGUUUUUAUUAGAUUUGAGUGGUGAGUUGGAGGCAAAGACUCAGCUGGCAAGAAGGCAGGGAAGCCGAAGUUCUGAGGAGAAACAGAAAGACACAGGUUGAGUCUGAGGCUGAAAGAUACAAUGCAGAAGAAUCUUUUUGAAGUACAAUUAGAAUUCUUCCCCUUA